rnacentral:rRNA from 1 species
GGCGAACGCUGGCGGCAGGCCUAACACAUGCAAGUCGAACGAACUCUUCGGAGUUAGUGGCGGACGGGGGAGUAACACGUGGGAACGUGCCUUUUGGUUCGGAAUAACUCAGGGAAACUUGUGCUAAUACCGAAUGUGCCCUUCGGGGGAAAGAUUUAUCGCCAUUAGAGCGGCCCGCGUCUGAUUAGCUAGUUGGUGAGGUAACGGCUCACCAAGGCGACGAUCAGUAGCUGGUCUGAGAGGAGGACCAGCCACGCUGGGACUGAGACCCGGCCCAGACUCCUACGGGAAGCAGCAGUGGGGAAUCUUGCGCAAUGGGCGAAAGCCUGACGCAGCCAUGCCGCGUGAAUGAUGAAGGUCUUAGGAUUGUAAAAUUCUUUCACCGGGGACGAUAAUGACGGUACCCGGAGAAGAAGCCCCGGCUAACUUCGUG